rnacentral:rRNA from 1 species
CCUACGGGUGGCUGCAGUCGAGAAUCAUUCACAAUGGGGGAAACUCUGAUGGUGCGACGCCGCGUGGGGGAAUGAAGGUCUUUGGAUUGUAAACCCCUGUCAUGUGGGAGCAAACUUAAAAGAUAGUAUCACAAGAGGAAGAGACGGCUAACUCUGUGCCAGCAGCUGCGGUAAUACAGAGGUCUCAAGCGUUAUCCGGAAUCAGUGGGCGUAAAGGGUGCGGAGGCAGUUUCGUAAGUCGGAUGUGAAAGGCUCGGGCUCAACCCGCGGACGGCACAUGAUACUGCGAGACUAGAGAAAUGGUGCGGGAGGCGGAAUGCACGGUGUAGCAGUGAAAUGCGUAGAGAUC